rnacentral:rRNA from 1 species
UACGUAGGGGGCAAGCGUUGUCCGGAUUUAUUGGGCGUAAAGCGCUCGCAGGCGGCCUGAUGCGUCGUGCGUGAAAUCCCUCGGCUCAACUGGGGGUGGUCGUGCGAUACGGUCAGGCUUGAGGCCAGUAGGGGGACGCGGAAUUCCGGGUGUAGUGGUGGAAUGCGUAGAGAUCCGGAGGAACACCAGCGGCGAAGGCGGCUCACUGGUCCGAUACUGACGCUGAGGUGCGAAAGCGUGGGGAGCAAACAGG